rnacentral:rRNA from 1 species
CUUGACGACCAUAGAGCAUUGGAACCACCUGAUCCCAUCCCGAACUCAGCAGUGAAACGAUGCAUCGCCGAUGGUAGUGUGGGGUUUCCCCAUGUGAGAGUAGGCUUUAUGUAGA